rnacentral:rRNA from 1 species
CGGCGGACGGGUGAGUAACGCGUGGGUAACCUGCCUCAUACAGGGGGAUAACAGUUAGAAAUGACUGCUAAUACCGCAUAAGACCACAGCACUGCAUGGUGCAGUGGUAAAAACUCCGGUGGUAUGAGAUGGACCCGCGUCUGAUUAGUUAGUUGGCGGGGUAACGGCCCACCAAGGCGACGAUCAGUAGCCGGCCUGAGAGGGUGAACGGCCACAUUGGGACUGAGACACGGCCCAAACUCCUACGGAAGGCAGCAG